GAUGAAGAACGCAGCGAAAUGCGAUAAGUAAUGUGAAUUGCAGAAUUCAGUGAAUCAUCGAAUCUUUGAACGCACAUUGCGCUCGCCAGUAUUCUGGCGGGCAUGCCUGUCUGAGCGUCAUUUCAACCCUCAUGCCCCUAGGGCGUGGUGUUGGGGAUCGGCCAAAGCCCGCGAGGGACGGCCGGCCCCUAAAUCUAGUGGCGGACCCGUCGUGGCCUCCUCUGCGAAGUAGUGAUAUUCCGCAUCGGAGAGCGACGAGCCCCUGCCGUUAAACCCCCAACUUUCCAAGGUUGACCUCAGAUCAGGUAGGAAUACCCGCUGAACUUAAGCAUAUCAAUAAGCGGAGGA
rnacentral:misc_RNA from 1 species